rnacentral:rRNA from 1 species
AUUGAACGCUGGCGGCAGGCCUAACACAUGCAAGUCGAACGAGUGGCGGACGGGUGAGUAAUGUCUGGGAAACUGCCUUAUGGAGGGGGAUAACUACGGGAAACUGUAGCUAAUACCGCGUACCAUCGGAUGAGCCCAGAUGGGAUUAGGUAGUUGGUGGGGUAACGGCUCACCAAGGCGACGAUCUCUAGCUGGUCUGAGAGGAUGACCAGCCAAACUGGGACUGAGACACGGCCCAGGCUCCUACGGGAGGCAGGAGGGGGGGAUGUUUCGAAAUGGGCGAAAGUCUGACGGAGCAACGGCGGGUGAGUGAUGACGGCCUUCGGGUUGGAAAGUAUGUUAAGCGGGGCGACGGUACCGGAAGAGAAAGCAACGGCUAACUACGUGCCAGCAGCCGCGGUAAUUC